GAUGAACGCUGGCGGCGUGCUUAACACAUGCAAGUCGAACGAAGCACCUUGAUUCGAUUCUUCGGAUGAAGAUCUUGGUGACUGAGUGGCGGACGGGUGAGUAACGCGUGGGUAACCUGCCUCAUACAGGGGGAUAACAGAUAGAAAUGACUGCUAAUACCGCAUAAGACCACAGCACCGCAUGGUGCAGGGGUAAAAACUCCGGUGGUAUGAGAUGGACCCGCGUCUGAUUAGGUAGUUGGUGGGGUAACGGCCUACCAAGCCGACGAUCAGUAGCCGACCUGAGAGGGUGACCGGCCACAUUGGGACUGAGACACAGCCCAAACUCCUACGGGAGGCAGCAGUGGGGAAUAUUGCACAAUGGGGGAAACCCUGAUGCAGCGACGCCGCGUGAGCGAUGAAGUAUUUCGGUAUGUAAAGCUCUAUCAGCAGGGAAGAAAAUGACGGUGCCUGACUAAGAAGCACCGGCUAAAUACGUG
rnacentral:rRNA from 1 species